AGAGUUUGAUCCUGGCUCAGAGUGAACGCUGGCGGCGUGCCUAAUACAUGCAAGUCGAACGAUGAAGCUUCUAGCUUGCUAGAGUGCUGAUUAGUGGCGCACGGGUGAGUAACGCAUAGGUCAUGUGCCUCUUAGUUUGGGAUAGCCAUUGGAAACGAUGAUUAAUACCAGAUACUCCCUACGGGGGAAAGAUUUAUCGCUAAGAGAUCAGCCUAUGUCCUAUCAGCUUGUUGGUAAGGUAAUGGCUUACCAAGGCUAUGACGGGUAUCCGGCCUGAGAGGGUGAACGGACACACUGGAACUGAGACACGGUCCAGACUCCUACGGGAGGCAGCAGUAGGGAAUAUUGCUCAAUGGGGGAAACCCUGAAGCAGCAACGCCGCGUGGAGGAUGAAGGUUUUAGGAUUGUAAACUCCUUUUGUUAGAGAAGAUAAUGACGGUAUCUAACGAAUAAGCACCGGCUAACUCCGUGCCAGCAGCCGCGGUAAUACGGAGGGUGCAAGCGUUACUCGGAAUCACUGGGCGUAAAGAGCGCGUAGGCGGGAUAGUCAGUCAGGUGUGAAAUCCUAUGGCUUAACCAUAGAACUGCAUUUGAAACUACUAUUCUAGAGUGUGGGAGAGGUAGGUGGAAUUCUUGGUGUAGGGGUAAAAUCCGUAGAGAUCAAGAGGAAUACUCAUUGCGAAGGCGACCUGCUGGAACAUUACUGACGCUGAUUGCGCGAAAGCGUGGGGAGCAAACAGGAUUAGAUACCCUGGUAGUCCACGCCCUAAACGAUGGAUGCUAGUUGUUGGAGGGCUUAGUCUCUCCAGUAAUGUAGCUAACGCAUUAAGCAUCCCGCCUGGGGAGUACGGUCGCAAGAUUAAAACUCAAAGGAAUAGACGGGGACCCGCACAAGCGGUGGAGCAUGUGGUUUAAUUCGAAGAUACACGAAGAACCUUACCUAGGCUUGACAUUGAGAGAAUCCGCUAGAAAUAGUGGAGUGUCUGGCUUGCUAGACCUUGAAAACAGGUGCUGCACGGCUGUCGUCAGCUCGUGUCGUGAGAUGUUGGGUUAAGUCCCGCAACGAGCGCAACCCCCUUUCUUAGUUGCUAACAGGUCAUGCUGAGAACUCUAAGGAUACUGCCUCCGUAAGGAGGAGGAAGGUGGGGACGACGUCAAGUCAUCAUGGCCCUUACGCCUAGGGCUACACACGUGCUACAAUGGGGUGCACAAAGAGAAGCAAUACUGCGAAGUGGAGCCAAUCUUCAAAACGCCUCUCAGUUCGGAUUGUAGGCUGCAACUCGCCUGCAUGAAGCUGGAAUCGCUAGUAAUCGCAAAUCAGCCAUGUUGCGGUGAAUACGUUCCCGGGUCUUGUACUCACCGCCCGUCACACCAUGGGAGUUGUGUUUGCCUUAAGUCAGGAUGCUAAAUUGGCUACUGCCCACGGCACACACAGCGACUGGGGUGAAGUCGUAACAAGGUAACCGUAGGUGAACCUGCGGUUG
rnacentral:rRNA from 1 species